rnacentral:rRNA from 1 species
GACUCUCGGCAACGGAUAUCUCGGCUCUCGCAUCGAUGAAGAACGUAGCGAAAUGCGAUACUUUGAACGCAAGUUGCGCCCGAAGCCAUUAGGCCGAGGGCACGUCUGCCUGGGCGUCA